AAUGAACGCUGGCGGCAUGCCUUACACAUGCAAGUCGAACGGCAGCAUGACCUAGCUUGCUAGGUUGAUGGCGAGUGGCGAACGGGUGAGUAAUGCAUCGGAACGUGCCUUUUAGUGGGGGAAAAGUUGGCGAAAGUAACGCUAUAACGCCAAAUUCCCUGAGGGGGAAAGCAGGGGACCUCCGGGCCUUGCGCAAGAAGGCGGGCGAUGUCGGAUUAGCUAGUUGGUGAGGUAAAGGCUCACCAAGGCAACGAUCCGUAGCGGGUCUGAGAGGAUGAUCCGCCACACUGGGACUGAGACACGGCCCAGACUCCUACGGGAGGCAGCAGUGGGGAAUUUUGGACAAUGGGCGCAAGCCUGAUCCAGCCAUGCCGCGUGAGUGAAGAAGGCCUUCGGGUUGUAAAGCUCUUUCGGCUGGGAAGAAAUCGCACCCUCUAAUACAGGGUGUGGAUGACGGUACCAGCAGAAGAAGCACCGGCUAACUACGUG
rnacentral:rRNA from 1 species